ACUAUGCAUCACAACUGCUGCUGCAGAGUCACUUACAAUAGGACCUAUGUCUGCCUGUACUACUUAGUGUUAUGGAUUCUGUGGUGUUUUGAGGGGUACGGAAGUAUUUAUUUUAAUACAGAUACCCCAGUUAGAUGCUAACUCAACAUUAUAGUUUACAGGAGAGUACCAUGGUAAGAUCAUAUGACACUUUAUUUUAUUCAAUCAUUACAAUUUUUAAUAGGGAAGAGAAGACAGAUGGAGCAGCAUUUCUAAAUAUAUACAGAAGUGAAGAGAGCAGCACAUUGCUGCUGGCUAAAAAUACAGAGCCAGCAAAAACCUGAAGCCAAGUUACACUUAUCAGCUAGACCUGGCUACCAAACAGCAGUCAUGGGGAGGCCUGUCUGGCACACAGCUACAAAGUUUAGAGGCUAGACUUCUUUGACGCACCUAAGCAUUUUGUAUCCACAAGUCUGAGGCAACUGACUGGAAUAGAAGAGGAAUCGUGCUGUGAUGUAGCAACCUGAACAGAACAUGAGUGUUAAACAGAUCUCUGCUGCCACCUGCUGAAUACCCAAUGAAGUGCAUCUCUCUCUCUCUCCGCUCUCAGGGGUGGGGGCAGUGACACUGUUGCUAUUGCUAAUACAAAGAGGUAAGAAAUAGAUUUUGGAUUAAAUUGUAAGGACUAUUUUAAGUGUUGGUGGCAAUAAAGAAGCCUGCAUCUCUUCCUUGUUGAACACCUGCAGCCCCACACACAAACGCACCUUGUGCCUUGGACACCGCUGUUAGUAGCCACUGGAGGGGAAACCCAUUUCAAACGCUUAAUUGGCUGCCAUUAAAGCACCACCUGUCAUUUGCAAUGGACCAGAGAGCUGGCGCCGCUGCAGCUGAGUCCAACAGCAACGUCACAAUCACAACACACUUCACAAGACCAGGUGAAAAAAUGAGACUGCAAUUCAGAUGCUAUUAUUAGCCUCUUAAUGAUUUUUAUUGAAGGGGGAGGGGAAUAAUAUUGUCCCUACCGCUGCUAGGCAAAAACAUUUCUGAAGUGGUACAGAGCGGAUCGUGGAGUCUGUUUCUGCAGAUGCAUGCAUGGUGUUUAGCAUUGGCAGUGCACUAAUUCGCUUGCAAGGGCACUUCACCCUCUCAUGCCUCCUGAGCUCUGUGUGCGACACUGAUAGAGGUCCUGUGUAUCUGUCCUGAGCUCUGUAUGCGACGCUGAUAGAGGUCCUGUGUAACCGUCCUGAGCUCUGUGUGCGACGCUGAUAGAGGUCCUGUGUAUCCGUCCUGAGCUCUGUGUGCGACGCUGAUAGAGGUCCUGUGUAUCUGUCCUGAGCUCUGUGUGCGACGCUGAUAGAGGUCCUGUGUAUCCAUCCUGAGCUGGCGAUGAAGGAACAGAAGAGCCAUGACCUUUUGUAAAAAUUUAACAGAGAUGCACAAGCUGCCCAUGGGUAUCUCUGUAUAUAUAUUAUACACAUACAUACAUACACACACACACACACACACACAGCAAUCCGUCCUAUAGUUAUUAUAUUAACUCACAGCUAGACCAUGUUGACAGUAAAUUGAACCAGCACUAGAUUUUCCUGUAUCAGGGCUCUUCGCUAACUCACUGUCCCCAUAUUUCACAGUGUUUUUCGUGUGUAAGUCAGACAGCGCUCUAAUAAACAGAAGCCUUGUUUGUUUUUAUAUCUACCAGUUUAUAAUUUAUUUUAUCGCUAGUUCAUUUGGCCUCACUUGCUCUCCCGCGUCAGCUGUGCUUCUGUAUAAGACAUGAAAACGAACACACUCAACUGCUUCAUUGUUCUGGGUCUUUCUGUUCCGUGAGCGCCUUGUCAGCGUGUCAUUUUUUGGGAUCAAAGGCUGUUAGUCGUCAGUAUAGCACUAUGGAAAAAUGUGCGUAGAGAAGGGAUCCCUCUCACCAUCUGUUCCUGCCUGCUCCAGGCUUGUGAGGGGGGAUGCCAUUGCCUUCAUGCUGACUGUUCUAGUGUUAACCACGCAUUACAGCUACAUGAGAGUUUGUCAGCUUUUUAGACUCAUUUAGUCAAAGCUAAAUGAAAAUGCCAUUUCUCGUGUUUGUAAAAGCGUCCUUAUGUCCUGGAUGAUAUAAAGAAUGAAAGAAAGAAAGAAAGAAAGAAAGAAAGAAAGAAAGA